rnacentral:lncRNA from 1 species
AAUGUACGAACAUGUGAAGAAGGUCGCCGGUGAUUUGGUUGGUCCGACGAACUUUAAGGUAGUUCCACCGAUGAUGGGAGCCGAGGACUUCUCCUUCUACUCUGAACUGAUACCUGCAGCAUUCUUCUAUAUAGGGAUAAGGAAUGAGACAUUAGGAUCAUAUCACACAGGACACUCUCCUCAUUUCAUGAUUGAUGAAGAUGUAUUGCCUAUUGGUGCAGCAACUCAUGCUGCAAUUGCGGAAAGAUACCUUUAUGAGUAUGGAUCUUGAUAGUUAAACUUCAUUUUGAAGUGAAAUAGGAAUUUUGUUUUAUGCAAUUCUUCUUUUUUUUCACCUUUUUUUUCUUCGACUUCUACCUAGCAUGCCAACCUAUGUUAUGAUUAACUACUAAGAGUCCCAUCGAGAAUGGUUGUACUAUUUUUUUUCUUAAAUGUUUUUUCAUGAGGUUGGUCACAUGAAUUAUGGAGAAAAGAAGAUAUAUGAUAUUAUAAAGUUCUUUUGCUAGAAUUUGAACUCUGUACAUAAAUGAUGUAUGAUGAAGUUGCAACUAUUAGACUGUAACUACUGUCUUUGGUCACAUGAGAAACAAUUAUCUGGGGAAGUUCUCUAUAUUCUUUGAUAUUCUUAGAUGUUAAAGGAAAGUGUAUCUCAGACAACAUUUAGAUGUAAUGUGUACUAUGUACAAAUUAAUGAAGGUCUUGUUACUAACAAACUGAUCGAAUCUUAUCUUACUCAUAACAUAAGGUAAACUUAACUACGUUAGAGAACAAACUAAGAUGGCCCGAUAACCAAGUUAUAAAGAUGUAGUAUAUAUUAACUAGCAAAAUUGCCGCGAAAAGUUCCAGGUAUACUAUUAAUAUUUCAAAGAACUCAUAUCUGGGAUUGGGUAUAAAGCAUUUCCACCUUAAGAAGUUCCAUGGAAACUCCUAUAUAAUGAUUUGCAAUAAACAAAAACACCAAAAGAAUCAAUAUUUGGGCUUUCCAAUCUUCUUUAAACUUUUUCUGGCUUUUCAAUCUUCUUUCCUUCGACAUUUCAUUAAUUAGCACGUUCCUAAUUACUUGUCAAAAGGAAAAGCACCUUUUUUAAUUUAAUCAUCCAUUAGCUGCCUUUCAAGAUUCUAUUCCCAUUUUAAUCCCCUAUUCCAAGAGAUAUAUAAAAAUCAAAACAGGGGAAGAGGGAGCUAUCUACAAUCAAUUUGCUCAAUUCACAAUAAUCCCAUUAUCCCAAUUUCUUAGCAAUUAAUAUGUCGACUUCUGGUGAAUCAAAUAUGGCAAUUGCCAAAACCAUAAUAUCAGCAGUUGGCUCUGCUGCUGCAAUGGUGAUGGUAACCUCCCUCCAGAAGUCCAAGACUAUCUUUUUUUCGGGAUAAGAAACCUCUUUAUUAAAUUCUCAAAUCAGCUAACAAUAGUAAUUGAUGAAUUUGAUGGCAUGGUAAGCAACGAAGUAUACGAGUCAGCACAAAUUUACUUGGGCUCCAAGCUCUCUCCUAACUCACGUCGCUUCAAAAUCAGCAAACCGGAGAAGGAAAAGAAUUUCAAUAUGAGCAUGGAACGCAACGAGGAAGUUACUGAUUGUUUCAAAGGUCAGAAAUUCAAGUGGAUAUGGGUUUGUAGGCAAGUUCAGUCAAAAGAUUAUUUCUAUAAUCCGCGUGACAUGAACUCCACUCUAAAAUCCGAGGUUAGAUCCUAUGAACUCACGUUUCACCGAAAAAACAACGACUUUGUCCUCGAAUGUUACUUGCCCUACAUUAUUAACAAGGCAAAAUUGCGAAAACAAGAAAUCAGGACACUAAAGAUCCACACUGUGGAUUAUGAGAAUAUGCAUGACCUAAGUGCAGUGUGGACGCCAGUAAAUCUUGAUCAUCCUGCUACGUUUGAGACUCUGGCAAUGGAUGUGGAACAAAAGGAAAGGAUUGUGAAGGAUUUGGACAGGUUUGUGAAGAGGAAAGAGUAUUAUAGGAAAGUUGGGAAAGCAUGGAAAAGAGGGUAUUUGUUGUAUGGUCCACCAGGUACUGGUAAAUCUAGUUUGAUUGCUGCUAUGGCUAAUUAUUUGAACUUUGAUAUAUAUGAUUUGGAGUUGACCGAGGUGAAGAAGAAUACGGACUUGCGGCGGCUGCUGGUGGCCACUGCUAAUAAGUCCAUAUUGGUGGUGGAAGACAUUGAUGCUACCAUUGAUUUGCAAGAAAAGUUGUCUAGCCGUGUAGCUGCUCCUUCUAAUGACUCUCAUGAGGAAGAAAGCAAGGUUAGAAUCUUUAAAAACAAUAUUCCGCUUCUUUCACAUUUUGUUAAAUGUUGAAAGAAUUUGAAAACACACUUUUCUUAAUUAGUUAAUUAUAUUCUUCAACACGAAGUUAUUACUCCUUUCGUCCCAAUUUAUGUAGCACCAUGCGGAUAUCGAGAGCCAAACGGUUUGGGGUAGGGCUGCUUAUCGGACGGAUCGGUCGGUUAUUUACUCUUAACGGCUCGGCUUAUCGGUUAUCUGCUUUUAAAUGUAUUAAUCCGUUAACCACCCGAUAAGAUAUCGGGCGGAUUGGUAUCGAUUUAGCUAUUAUUGGGCGGUUUAUCGGCCGGUUUAUCGGCCUAGUUCAAUUUGUAUUACAGAGGAUUAUUUUGGUCCUUCAAGUUAUACGGUUACUAGUAAUUAGUAAAUACCUAACGGUGCUUCAGCUAACAUAACAGUUAACACUUCCUAACAUGGCAAUUACAUCUCUCAAAAUGAGUCCAGAAUACAACUAGAGAUAAAAUAAAAACUUAGACAUAAAAUCUAGAAUAAUUGGAGACAUCCAAAAUACAACUGUUGUAGCUAACCCCUAGCAGUGCUUCAAUUUCUGCAGCUUCAAAGUUCAAAAAACUUGCAAGUUCUAUUGGCUCCUAAGUAUCCUUGUCACCCCACUCCACCAGAACACUGUACAUUAAUUCCGUAUAAGUCAAAAAAGAAACAUAGCAUCGCUCUCCAACCUAUUUCCCGUUUGCUUCCACUACUCUUCUAUAUCUUCCAACUUGAAAUUGCUUCAUCUAGUGUUCUUAAAAUUUAUUUCCCAGAUUUCGCUUUCUUUGCUUUCAUGACUGUUGUUUCCUAUAUAUUUUCCCAUAAUUUCACCAAAUAAGAAGAGGAAAGAGAAAUUAACAGCAAGAUGCAACAUGAUAUGUGCAUAUGCAUGCUAUCCCACUAAAGAUUCAACCAUCAAGUAGAGAUUCGAAAAGGAGAAGAAAGAAACUUACCAUCUGCUGCUCUGGCUAUGGCCGUAAGCUCGUAACUGGGGUUCUGAGAUCUGGUUCUGAGAAGUGUGUUGAGAUUGUGAGACGGCGAGAGGGAGAGGCGAGACUCGAGAGGGCUGGGCAGUGGGUUG